rnacentral:sRNA from 1 species
GAAGUGAUUGAAUGCACCAUAAGCCAACUACAGUCAUUCUCUUUGCAAUCUCACCUUCUUCUGCAUUCAUCACUUCAUAUGGUCUCACAUCAUUAUCAACAUCAUUAUCCACAUCAAGUGUUCUGUAUGCAAAAUGUGGGAAGUAUAUCUCACUCGUAUGACUAGCUUCAGGAUUAAUGUUCUUCCUUCCUCCUACCAUUUCCAGUAGCAUCAUUCCAUAACUAUACACAUCAGACUUUUGUGAAACUCCUCCAAAAUGUCUAUUGAUCAUUUCAGGAGCUAAAUACCCCAUUGUUCCUCUUGCAUCAGACACAGAAAUAAUGCUUUCAUUCCUGGGACAGAGCUUUGCUAGUCCAAAAUCUGAUAUUUUAGGACAAAAAUUCUCAUCCAAAAGAAUAUUAUGUGGUUUUAUGUCAAAAUGUAAAAUUUUAGUGUUGCAGCCUCUGUGCAAGUACUCCAACCCUCGAGCUAUUCCUAUGGCAAUUUGAUAUAAAUUCUCCCAGGUCAAAGAUGCAAUAUUUUCUGGCCCUCUGUUGUAGAUGAACUUAUCCAAAGAACCAUUAGCCAUAAACUCAUAGAUGAGAGCCUUUUUGGAGCCUUCCAAACAAAAUCCAACAAGUGAGACAAUAUUAACAUGUGAUGUUCUACUGAUGCUGGCAACCUCAUUGAUGAACUCUUCGUCAUUUCUUUUGGAUGCUUUCAGUAACUUUACAGCCACAGGACUACCCGUGAGUAGUGUUCCUUUGUAUACUGUACCAAAACCACCUUGACCAAGUUUAACUUUGAAUGAAUUAGUCAUUUUCUGCACUUCUGAAAAUUUGUAUCUUUUCUGCGCUAUGGCUCCAUGAUUUCUUAAGAAAGCUUCGACAUUUGAAUCACUGUUUGUGGUAAAACAAAAUUUGACUAGUCGGGUGGAAGACUUACGUCUAAGACAAAAAAGUAUGAAGAAA